rnacentral:rRNA from 1 species
UACGGAGGAUCCGAGCGUUAUCCGGAUUUAUUGGGUUUAAAGGGUGCGCAGGCGGGAGAUUAAGUCGGCGGUGAAAUUUUGCAGCUCAACUGUAAAAGUGCCUUCGAAACUGGUUUCCUUGAGUGUGGAUGAAGUAGGCGGAAUUUGUGGUGUAGCGGUGAAAUGCAUAGAUAUCACGAGGAACUCCGAUUGCGCAGGCAGCUUACUAAACCAUAACUGACGCUCAGGCACGAAGGCGUGGGGAUCAAACAGGAUUAGAUACCCCCGUAGUCCCU